AUGGCCUGGAGAAAUGGCCCAAGCCCACCAGCGGAAGGGUUUUGGGUGGCUCUGCUUCCCCCCGUGGCCGCCGCUCCACCAGAACCCUUCCCUCCCCUCCCCUGCCCUGCUCCUCGUCGGCGGACGACCAUGGCGGCGCUCCUCCGCCGUCUCCUCCUCCUCCGCCGCCUCGCCCUGCCCCACUCCCAGCCCCAGCCCCGCCUCCUCCCCCACACCACCGCCCUAACCCCCCACCCGGCCCUCGCCCCCUCCCGCGGCUUCUCCUUCUCCUCCGCGGAGGAGGCCGCGGCGGAGCGCCGCCGCCGCAAGCGCCGCCUCCGCAUCGAGCCCCCGCUCCACGCGCUCCGGCGGGACCCGUCCGCCCCGCCCCCGCCGCGGGACCCCAACGCGCCCCGCCUCCCGGACACCACCUCCUCCCUCGUCGGCCCGCGCCUCAGCCUCCACAACCGCGUGCAGUCCCUGAUCCGCUCGGGCGACCUGGACGGGGCCUCUGCCGCGGCCCGCGCCGCCGUCAGCUCCCGCGUCCGCCCCACCGUCUUCACCUGCAACGCCGUCGCCGCCUCCAUGGGCCGCGCGGGCCGCCACGACGACGCCGUGGCGCUCUUCGACUUCUUCUUCCGCCGCUCCGGCAUCGUCCCCAACGUCGUCUCCUACAACACCCUCAUCCUCGCCCACUGCGAGGCCGGCCGCGUCGACGAGGCGCUCCAGGCCUACCAGGAGAUGCUCGACGGCGCCACCUCCUUCUCCCCCUCCGCCGUCAGCUACCGCCACCUCACCAAGGGCCUCGUCGCUGCCGGCCGCAUCCAGGAGGCCCUCGAGCUCCUCCACAGCAUGUACCACCGCGGCCAGGGCGCCGACUCCAUCGUGUACAGGAACCUCAUCGACGGCUACAUCGGCCUCGACGACUGGGACAAGGCCUUCGAGCUCUUUGCCGAGCUCACCGAGAAGGCCACCGUGUACGACGGCGUCGUGCACACCAGCUUCAUGGAGGGCUACUGGAAGAAAGGCAUGGACAAGGAGGCCAUGGAGAAUUACAAGUCUCUGCUCGACAGGAACUUCAAGAUGACGCCCGCCACCUGCAAUGUUCUGCUCGAGACACUCUUCAAGCAUGACAAGCACAAGGAGGCCAAUGACCUGUGGGAGACCAUGAUUGACAACCACAGCCCUCCAAGCUUCAUCGGUAUGAACAGCGAGUCCUACAAUGUCAUGGUCAACCAGUGCUUCAAGGAGGGCAGGUUCCAGGAUGCCAUUGAGGUGUUCCACCGCCAGCCGAGGAGGAACGUCCAGAUGGACGUCGGCUGCUUCAACAACAUCAUCGGGAAGCUCUGUGAGAAGGGGAUGCUCGCAGAGGCAGAGAAGCUCUUUGAGGAGAUGGAGAGCAAGUCGGUGCUUCCAGAUGUGUACACCUACACUUUCCUGGUCGACUUGUGCUUCAAGGAAGGUCGUGUGGAUGACACGAUUCAGUACUUCUACAAAAUGGCAGAUGGGAGGGAGCACGGCCCAAAGUUCAACAUCGGCUUUUUCAAUAGAAUGUUUGAAGGACUUUCACAAGCUGGCCGAAUUGAUGAUGCCUUGAAGGUGUACGGAAGGAUGGCUGACAAGGAGAUCAAGCCCAACACAACUACAUUUGAGAUCCUGGUUAAUGCACUGUGCAAGGAAGGGGAAUUGGAUAGAGCACUGGAUCUGGUGAGGGACAUGGCAAGGGGUGGUGUUGUCGCAACUCCUGAGUUCCGGGUGUCUGUCGGUGAGAUUUUCAAGAAUGCUGAUCGACACGAAGAGAUCGAGAAAGCUUUUGAAGAAAAACCAGUGCCACUGCCUCCUCAGCCAAGACCAGAGGUUCGCCCUCGCAGUUCACCUCAGGGGUUGCCAGGAUUUGCAUCUAAUCAGACACGGGGCAGCUACACACCUAACCAAGGCCAACCAGGUUAUGGUUCUCCACAACCAUUUCAGCCUGGCAAUGGUGCAUCUCAAGUGCGGCAACCCGAGUGGAUGUCUCCUAAACUUCAGCAGCCUGUGUCUGGAAACCAACAAGUUGAAAAAACAGAUGUUGGUGCUUCUAAUAAAUGGCAGCAUGGUAUUUCUUCUCCUCAAGAAAAACAACCUGGGAUUGCCCUGCCUCAAGAUGGACAACAGCCAGAGUUUGGUACCUCUCGCCCUUGGCAGCAAACAGUUGGUGCUCCUCAAGUGCAGCAACCUAAUUUUGGCUCAGCUACACCGGUGCAGCCUGGGUUUGGUAGUCGACCGCAGCAACCACCACAUGGUUCUCAUGAGACUCAACAUUCUGGGUUUGGCACAUCUCGUCCAUGGCAGACAGGGUAUGGCGCUCACCAAGCACAACAGCCAGGCCAUGUCGCUCAUCAAGCGCGACAGCCUGGGUAUGGCGCUCAUCAAGCACAACAGCCAGGCCAUGGCGCUCAUCAAGCGCAACAGCCUGGAUAUGGUGCUCAUCAAGCGCAACAGCCUGGGUAUGGUGCUCAUCAAGCGCAACAGCCUGGGUAUGGUGCUCAUCAAGCGCAGCAGCCUGGAUAUGGCGCUCAUCAAGCGCAGCAGCCUGGAUAUGGCGCCCAUCAGGCGCAACAGGCCGGAUAUGGCACCCAUCAGGCGCAACAGGCCGGAUAUGGCACCCAUCAGGCGCAACAGCCCGGGUAUGGCGCCCAACAGGCGCAACAGCCCAGAUAUGGCGCCAAUCAAGUACAACAGCCUGGGUAUGGGGCUCACCAAGCACAACAGCCUGGGUAUGAGGCUCAUCAAGCGCAGCAGCCCAGGUAUGGGGCUCAUCAAGCGCAGCAGCCUGGGUAUGGUACUCAUCAAGCGCAGCAGCCUGGGUAUGGUGCUCCUCAGGCAUCACGGCCGUCAUUUGGUGCCCCUGAAGCACCACGGUCUAGUUUGGGCUCUGCUCAGAGUCUCCCACACUAUGGCCGCAUAGGAAAUGAGCAUGAUCAGCUUGGAUCUUCUCGUCAAGGUGGACCAACAUUUAGCACUCAGGCACCACAGACUGCUGAGGCCCCAGACGACAUGGCGGUCAAAUACAGUCAGCAUUACUAG
rnacentral:rRNA from 1 species